rnacentral:lncRNA from 1 species
UGUAACACUAAUAAAUAAAUGACCCAGAGACAGAUAUUGGGGUACAAGCUGAAGAUAAGGGAAACAAAGCAGCUGGCCACUAGCUCUCACCUAUAUCUCAAGCUGAAUUGGCUGAUCCUGUCUCCAAAAGUUCCUACCAAGCCUCAGACUGUAACCUCUCCUCAACAUGGCCUCAUACUUAGUCCUGAUACUGACUUAUAUACCUCCCAUGAGUCCUGGGAUUAAAGAUGUGAGCUAUAAUUCUCUUUUAGACUGAUUCAAUCUUGGGUAGAUCUGGGUAGCCUUGGACUCACAGAGAUCUGUCUACCUCUUAAUCCUGAGUCCUAGGAUUAAAAGUGUGUACCACCACCUCCUAACUUCUGGCUGCUGGGAUUAAAGGUGUGUGCCACCACUGCCUGAUCUCUAUAUCUUGAGGCUGACUUUGCAUUUCUGAAUCCUCAGUCAAGCUUUAAUAAAUCAUAAAUAAUAUAUCACUACCAUGUAACUGCAAUGGAAGAUAGUCUAUAUGCCCACUGUAUAAGUGAGGCAAUAAAAUAGUACCUAUAAUCACCAUGGAUGUUGAUUAGAAAUUAUCUUCCUAGUACCUUUGAUGAGGGCUUCUGAGGCAGGAAAUGCCCAUCUAUAACAAGUAAUGAAAUCCACCUUCCAUUGCAGAAAUGAGGGAGAGUAACUAGUUAAAGGAACCAUGAAGGAAAAGGACCCCCGUAUCCCAGACACAUCCCAGAGUCAAUAAGCAUCUGACAUUUAGAAAACAAGCACUCCACAGAGAAGAAACUGCCAGGAGGAGGAGGGAAGAAAGAUUUAUUCACCUCGGGGUGCAUGUUAAGUUCAGUUUUGGUGUUGUGUUUGGACUCAUCUAUGUCUCUGUCUCCAUGUACUGGUUUGGCUUUCUCAGGAGAAUCUUUGCCCUGUUAACUUCUGGUUCUUUGGUCUGUCUGUCUGAAGAGGAAAUCCAGCUACUGCUUGAGCCAAUGAUUCUGAACCUCGGCUCCCACAAAAGCAUACUGAUACUCCUUGCCAGGUCUGCUAACAUUAAUUCAAAACGUAAGUCGUAAUGUGUAAUGGGGACACAAUUCUGAAAACAAUUUCAUCUGGAAGUUUUGUCACUGGUUGAAGAUUGCCUGAAAGGAAUGCAGUUCUUCCAAGACUUUCUAGGGACCUCAGAGUCCUUGGCUUCAGUCAGACCACCAGCAAGCUCCUGUUUGAAGGACUGUGGUCUGCUCCCAUACAUGAGUUCUUCCAGGGCUCUCUUUUAAUGAAAUAAGAAACUGCUCUGGGAAUAGCAUUAAGGUAUUUACCGUGGAGAAGAUAUUCGCAAUGCAGUUUCCUUGAUGUUGUUAAUUUAUAUUGGUUUUGUACUUACUGAUUAGGUUACUUUAGCUUAGUGAUCUUCUGAAUUGUGUGAUCCAUUUUCUUUUACUCUUGCUGAUUAAUAGAAAACACAGAGUUAAAAUCACGGCCCAAUUCCAACAAGCACACAGCAGCUCUUGGCAAGCAAGUUAUGACUCCCUGUUUAUUUUCUUUUUCUCAUUUCAACAUAUCAUCUUUGCAUGAUUUUACUUAGUUACAUAGAUUGUCUGGGCAAAAACAUACACAUGAAAUUCCAAUGGAAUGAAUUUUUAAACAAGAGCUAUACUGGAAGAAAUAUAAAGAGAAAGUUAACAGAGACAUUAAUUUUCACUGAAGAGGAAGAAGACAGUGGAAUGAUGACAGGCAGCUGGUUGGUAGUGGACCUGGAAAUUAACAGCCACCAUUGGGGCAUGAAAAGCUGAUUCCAGAACUCUGAAGCCAUAGUCUGUGUUGCUAUGCUAUCAUUGCCAGCUUUCCAUCAACACCAGUAUCAACCAGCAUUCAAAAAUAGUCAAAUUCCUUGUGCUGUUUCUGUACUUUAUUUUGAGUAAUAUUCAAGUUCCAUGAAUACACCAGCCCAAGCAAAGCCAGAAAGGACAGUGUCCGCUCUCACUUCUCUGCCAUAUGCUCAGAAAAAUCUCUAAAUUCAACUGGAUGUUUUCUCAGAUAAAAUCACUGCUGCUUUCACCAAUGGGUGUAGGACCAACUUAAAGUUCCCAAGAACAGUGGGGGUUAUCUGAACAACCACUAAAAUAAGACCUAUUUCAUUAUUAAAGUCCACUCUGCUGAAUUACACUAAGGUUUCAAGGGACACUGAUGAAAUGUUUUAGUAAGUGGGUUGAGUUAUCCUGACAGAUAUCAAUUCUAAGCCACAAAAUAGUUUGAAAAUCAGAUUCUG